rnacentral:rRNA from 1 species
CAACAGGGAUUCCCCUAGUAACGGCGAGUGAAGCGGGAACAGCUCAAAUUUGAAAUCUGGCCCUCGGGUCCGAGUUGUAAUUUGUAGAGGAUGCUUUUGGUGCGGUGCCUUCCGAGUUCCCUGGAACGGGACGCCUUAGAGGGUGAGAGCCCCGUACGGUUGGACGCCUAGCCUCUGUAAAGCUCCUUCGACGAGUCGAGUAGUUUGGGAAUGCUGCUCUAAAUGGGAGGUAUAUUUCUUCUAAAGCUAAAUACUGGCCAGAGACCGAUAGCGCACAAGUAGAGUGAUCGAAAGAUGAAAAGCACUUUGAAAAGAGGGUUAAAUAGCACGUGAAAUUGUUGAAAGGGAAGCGUUUAUCACCAGACUUUUUCUAGGGGGAUCAUCCGGUGUUCUCACCGGUGCACUUCCCCUAGUUGAGGCCAGCAUCGGUUUUCGGAGGGGGAUAAAAGUUUCGGGAAUGUGACUCCCCCGGGAGUGUUAUAGCCCGUUACAUAAUACCCUUCUGGGGACCGAGGUUCGCGCAUCUGCAAGGAUGCUGGCAUAAUGGUGAUCAACGACCCGUCUUGAAACACGGACCAAGGAGUCGAACAUUUAUGCGAGUGUUUGGGUGUCAAACCCUCACGCGUAAUGAAAGUGAACGGAGGUGAGAGCCCUUACGGGUGCAUCAUCGACCGAUCCUGAUGUCUUCGGAUGGAUUUGAGUAAGAGCAUAACUGUUCGGACCCGAAAGAUGGUGAACUAUGCGUGGAUAGGGUGAAGCCAGGAGAAAUCCUGGUGGAGGCUCGCAGCGGUUCUGACGUGCAAAUCGAUCGUCAAAUCUGCGCAUGGGGGCGAAAGACUAAUCGAWCCAUCUA